GAAGAAAAGAUGUUUGGUUUUCACAAGCCAAAGAUGUACCGAAGUAUAGAGGGCUGCUGUAUUUGCAGAGCUAAGUCUUCCAGUUCUCGAUUCACUGACAGUAAACGCUAUGAAAAGGACUUCCAGAGCUGUUUUGGGUUGCAUGAAACUCGUUCAGGGGACAUCUGCAAUGCCUGUGUCCUGCUUGUGAAAAGAUGGAAGAAGUUGCCAGCAGGAUCAAAAAAAAUUGGAAUCAUGUGGUAGAUGCAAGGGCAGGACCCAGUCUAAAGACCACAUUGAAACCAAAGAAAGUGAAAACUCUGUCUGGGAACAGGAUAAAAAGUAACCAGAUCAAUAAACUGGAGAAGGAGAAGGAAUUUAAACGUCGUAAUUCUGAUGUUCACAGUACCACCUCAAGUGCCUCCCAGCUCAAUCUCCUUGUUACAGUAACCAGUCAGAUGAUGGUUCAGAUACAGAGAUGGCUUCUGGUUCUAAUAGAACACCGGUUUUUUCCUUUUUAGAUCUCACAUACUGGAAAAGACAGAAAAUGUGUUGUGGGAUUAUCUAUAAAGGCCGUUUUGGGGAAGUCCUCAUCGAUAGAAAGCUGCUGCUGAGAAGCCGGAGGAGCAGGGCCCAGAGCCUCUGCCCAUCUCCACUCAGGAGUGGUGACUGAGGUUCUCAUGUAGAAGGGGAGCAAAAAUGAUUUAAAUUUUGAAAAGACCACAAAGCAACAAACUGACCCUCCUAUUUUUAACUUGGAUACCUGCUAUUCUGCCAAAAGACAACUUUUAGAAUAGUUUAGAGUGGGCUAUUUUUCCCCCCAGUUCCACAAACUCUGAAGCCAGUAUCUAGGUGACUAAAAAAGAAUUGUACAUAAUAUUUAAGAUGCUGAGUAUUUCAUAGGAAAGCUGAAUGCUGCUGUAAAGUGCUCUUUAAGUCUUCUUUUUUUUAAUCCCCUGUAAUGAAUGAAACUAAGGGGAAUUUCAGGGGACAGAGAUGGGAUUUGUUGUAUGAUAAACAGUAUGUAGUUUUAGUCUUUCUCUAUUGAGAAGCAGUGGUUGGGGCAUUUUUAAAGAUGGCUGGCUAUACUUGUUUUCCCUCAUGAUAAUAAUUUUGUCAUAUUACAGUAACAUAGACUUGCCCCUAGAGGUAAUUGUUAAUAAUUUUGAAUAUUAAGGUCUUGCCAAGGUUGUGACAAUUCAAACCUGUACUACUGAUUAUUAAGCAGGACAGACUGAGCUUUCUGUUACAAAUACCUUGAAGGAAAAUAUACAGAGAGGUAACUGUGUAUUUUGCAUCCUGUGCCACCUCCCUUCAUAUUAAUAUUUGAG